AGUGAACGCUGGCGGUAGGCCUAACGCAUGCAAGUCGAACGGCAGCACAGUAAGAGCUUGCUCUUACGGGUGGCGAGUGGCGGACGGGUGAGGAAUACAUCGGAAUCUACUUUUUCGUGGGGGAUAACGUAGGGAAACUUACGCUAAUACCGCAUACGACCUACGGGUGAAAGCAGGGGAUCUUCGGACCUUGCGCGAUUGAAUGAGCCGAUGUCGGAUUAGCUAGUUGGCGGGGUAAAGGCCCACCAAGGCGACGAUCCGUAGCUGGUCUGAGAGGAUGAUAGGCGACCUGGGAACGGAGACGGGGUCCAGACUCCUACGGGAGGCAGCAGUGGGGAAUAUUGGACAAUGGGCGCAAGCCUGAUCCAGCCAUACCGCGUGGGUGAAGAAGGCCUUCGGGUUGGAAAGCCCUUUUGUUGGGAAAGAAAAGCAGCAGGUUAAUACCCCGCUGUUCUGACGGUACCCAAAGAAUAAGCACCGGCUAACUUCGUG
rnacentral:rRNA from 1 species